CAUUUUUCCCCUAUUACAAAAACAUGGAACGCGUCACCCUGCACCCCUGUGUGCCAAAUCGGAUAUGGACAUCCAAUAGAGCGUACUUUGGCUUUUCAAUUCUAAUAAAUGUUUAAGAGUGAUGGAGAGACUUUCUUUUCCUGCCGGUGUCUAUGAAGACUGUGUCGGUGAACUGGUGGAUGAGGAUGUCCUUUGUGUUGUGUGCCGAAGAAGCAAUGGAAAGAAAAGAACAGAGGAAGAGGAAAGCUAGAAGAAU
rnacentral:sRNA from 1 species